AUUAUGUAUUUGUUAUUAUAGAAGGCAUUCUCUUUCUAGACAAAAAAAAGUUGAAAAUAUCUUUUAAAAAAGGCAAAAGCCACUAGACGAGAGGGGCAAGCAGCGAUAGCAGCUCGACCUUAGGCAGAGCCGCUCAAACAAAGAUAGCUUCUUGAUCCACGUAUCUCAUUGAUUUAGCGAUAGGGGCGGAAUGCCAAGCCGCUCUAACACCAUUCCAUUGGGGAGUCCCAUCCCAGCCUUAGACUGACCAGACAGAGGCCAGCUUAGGGGCUGAUUGACCUGACCUAACCGAAUGAAGAAAGAAAAGUGUGGUUUUCCCGUGAGCUUUAUCUAAGCUAUUUCACGAUAGGGAUUGGAGAUAGA
rnacentral:misc_RNA from 1 species